rnacentral:rRNA from 1 species
UACGGAGGGGGCUAGCGUUGUUCGGAAUUACUGGGCGUAAAGCGCACGUAGGCGGCUUGGUAAGUUAGCGGUGAAAGCCUGGAGCUCAACUCCAGAAUUGCCUUUAAGACUGCCGAGCUAGCAGGUGAGAGAGGUGAGUGGAAUUCCGAGUGUAGAGGUGAAAUUCGUAGAUAUUCGGAAGAACACCAGUGGCGAAGGCGGCUCACUGGCUCAUACUGGACGCUGAGGUGCGAAAGCGUGGGGAGCAAACAGG